AAAACUAAUAUUCUUAUUUCAUGCUAAUAUUCUGAUUUUAUACACUUUUCUACAUGCGCCUCUUGAUAAAACCAUCUUAUUUCAUCCUCAGUUGGUUGUGUAUUCAACGAUGGGUUUUGAUCUUCUCCGACUUCACUCGCCGGAACCGAAGACGAUAUUGGAUCACUUGCUUCUUCCAUCUUCUUUCAAAUUAAUAGCAAAUUUUUUUGUUUUUGGAAAAAGAAAUUAAAUUCUAAAUUCCAUUAUCUAUAUUCUAUUUCAAUGUAUCUUCCUCGUAUUCGGUCGUAUUCAAAUAAUUAAAACUUUUUUUCUAUAAUUUUUACAAAAGUACAAGACUUUUCUUUAUUAAUUAGUUUCAAUAGAUCUUGGGCUAUAUAUAUACUUCCUAUAUUUAGAGCUGAUAUCAUUCUCAGCUUUCAAACUUCAUCACCUAUUCAAAUGGCUGGAACGAUUGCGAAGGUAAUUAAGUAUCAUUUUUAAAUAAUUUACUAAUUUGCAAGUGAUGUUAUAUAUAUUGUACUACUAGAUAAAAGUACUUCACUAGUUCCUUCACAGUUUAUCAUGAUUCAUUAAUUCUUUAUUAAAGUCGUUUUAAUUUGAGAUGAUCUUAAUUGAAUCAGUUUAAACUCUUUAAAAAUUUAUUUUCAGUAUAAGUGUAAAUUUAAAUUUUACUGUAUUUUUUAUUUUUGCUAAUGGCCAAGUCAUACAUUUUGUGCGACUAGGACCAGUUUCCAAUUCUUUUUUAAAACAAUUAACAAAAAUUCAGUUUGAAUUUACCUCAAAUUGUUGUUUGCAUUGUGAAUUCCUUGUUUCUAAGCUUUAAAUUGAAAAAUUGUUGAAAAUAAGUUUUAAUAAUGAUUUUUAGAGAGAAUAUAAUAUUGUAGAGUGAUAUGAGUGUAUUAUAAUUUUAUUAAACAAAAAUUGACAACACAAUAAAAAAGACGACAAUAAAAAAAUAAAAAAAUUAAGUCUAACGACUUUUGAUAACAUCUCAAUUCUCUCAUAUUACACCUGUCCCAUUGUACUUGCUAUUAAUAUUGACAUUUUUCACACAAUAUCUUAUAAUUGGAUACGAACAUUUUAAAGCGAGAGAAAUAUAAAAAUAAUUAUGUAUUCAGUCUUCACAUUAAGUCUUGAACUCACAAAUAAAUCCAAUAAAACGUUAUUAUUUAUUUUUUUCAUUUUCAAAGUAAAAAUCCAAUAAAGUUUUCUCUUUUUUAAUCUCUCUAUUUACUAUCUCUCUCAUCUUCUCUAACAAAAAAGCAGAAGAGAGAGAAAGAAAUAGAAAUACAAGAGUUGACAACGAGUAGUAUCCGUUUUUUUCAGUUAGACACAAAAAAAUUUAAAAAUUUUAAACAAAUCUCUUUCUUUGUCUGUCUUUCUCUUUCUCAAACCCCCAAUUUAAAAAUGGUGUCUGACCAACAAAUAGCUGAAGCUUUACAAUUCUUUAUUUUGUCAAAUAAACCCUAAUUCUUUCACUUCACUCAACCAAGUUAUUCUUCAAUUGCAAUCCAAUUUAGGGUUUGAUCUUUCUAACAAAAUUGAUUUCAUUCGUGCUCAUAUUAGUCUUUUGUUCAAUUCUCAGCCUCCUCCUCCUCCUCCUGUUCCUGUUCCGCCGCCGUCGAUUGUAUCUACUGUCACUUUAGUUCACGAUGAAUGUUAUCAAUUGGGGUUUUUUCCUGGUAGGAAAACGAGGAAGUAAUGGAUGUUUGGGAUGUAAAAGUUUAGACUUUUUUGCGAGGGGUGAGGAAGGGGGCAUUUUUCUCAUUUUAUCUUAUGAUGAGUUAGGGUUUUUGGAAAAGGGUUAAUUUAUUUUACUCUGAAGAACUUGUUUAUAAUGAUUUGUGAUAAGGAAAGGGAAAGUAAAAUAGAAAGGAAGAACUUCAAUGCUUGUUGAUUUGAGGCUUUUUGAGAGGUUUUUGGCUAAGGCUUACAUUUGACUUAUGGAAGUAUCAAAUCAUGACACUCUGAUAUGGUUUGAGGCUUUAAUUAGAGCUGUGUUUGUUACUUUAACAACAUUAACUUCUUUGAAGCAUAUGUACUAAAUUUGAUUGGUAAAUUAAUGUAUUUAUCUGCUGAAGAUUGUCAGGCAACUUUGGGCAUAUAUAAGAAAGAACAAUCUCCAAGAUCCGAGUAACAAAAGAAAGAUAAUAUGCAAUGAUGAGUUGCGAUUGGUAUUUGAAGUUGACUGUACGGAUAUGUUUCAGAUGAACAAGCUGCUGGCAAAACAUAUUAUUCCUCUUGAUCCCACAAGUGGUGGUAUGGGAUCUUUUAACAAACAUUUGGCAAAGAAGCAUGGAAUCACAAAAGAAACUCAUGCAGCAAGUGGCAGCGGGACCACAAGUGGAAGCCAACGGUGGGACAUUCCCAGCAUAGGUAUGCCUUUUAAAUAUAAUCGUAAUGAUAUGAUUGAUGAAUUUUCUAAGUAUGUAAUUUGUGAUGAAUUGCCAUUUAACCAUGGUGAAAGUAGGGCAUACGAGCGUUACACUAGAAAAACUUUGCAACCACAAUAUAGAGCAAUUCCUAAGAGCACUCUUAAACGACGCAUAAUUAAAUUAUAUGAAACAAUGCGUUAUUAAUUAGUAGAAAUGUUUAAAUCUUUUAAUGGUAGGGUUAGCAUAACAACUGAUAUUUGGUCUGCUCCCCCACAUUUAGAAUCUUAUAUGUGUGUAACAGCACAUUGGAUAGAUCAAAAUUGGAUUAUUCAAAAAAGAAUAAUUGCUUUUGAGGCAAUGCUCGAAAGACAUACGGGUGAAAACAUAAAAUACAGAUUAGUAGAGAUAUGUAGAGAAUGGAACAUAAUAGAUAAGAUAUUUUGUUGUUCUACCGAUAAUGCAACCGCUAACAUUAAAUGUAUGGAACUUUUGUAUAACGAACCUGCAUUUAGUUUUAUCCUUGGGGGUAGAUUAUUACACAUACGUUGUUGUGCUCAUAUAGUAAACUUAUCUUGCCAAGCAGGUAUAAAACAAUUAAGUGAUUUAUUAGAUUCAAUUAGAGACAUAGUGAAGUGGCUUAGAAUUGGACAGAUAAAGAGACGAUAUAAGCAAUUAUGUGACCAUUAUCAAUUGAAAAAAGUGUAUUGGUCAUUAGAUACUCCUACAAGUUGGGGCUCAACCAACGAUUUAUUAAGAAAAGCGAUUGCUUAUCGUCCAGUUAUAACACAACUUUAUAGUGAGUGUACAGAUAGCUAUAUAACUGAUGACACAUGGGAACUAGCUAUAGGUGUACAUAAAAUAUUAGAAGCGUAUGACCACGCAACUAAGAUUUUUUUCAUAUGUUUACGAACCAAACGUUCACUUAGUAAUAAGUGAGUGUAUUACUAUUUUUUAUCAUCUUCUUAAACAUACGCAUGAUGAUACUAACCCAUAUUUAAAGCCGAUUCUUGCAGAUAUGAUGGAUAAGUGAAAGAUAUAUUUUACCGAUUUUCCUUUUAUUUAUGGAAUUUCAACCAUUUUAGACCCAUGUUUUAAGACAUCUUCAUAACUUUAUGAUUACUAUGCUAGUGUAUAUAACCCAAAACGCGAUACGUCUAGGCAUGCUAGCGUCUCGGCACGUCCCUCUUAUUAUAAUUUUCCGUAAUAGCUAAUAUAAUAAGCCAAGAUGAUAGUUUUGUAGGAUUAUCUUCUUCACUCUCCACUGCAUAUUUAGAAUUAGAUAAUUAUCUUAAACAUCACUUUGAAAUUAACCAAGGUAGCUAUAAUAUUUUAGAGUGGUGGAAAGAAAAAUCUAUAAAAUUUCCCAUAUUAUUGAGGAUUGCAAAGGAUGUCCUUGCAAUUUCUGCUUCUACGAUUGCGUCGUAGUCUGCUUUUAGUGCAGGUAGAAGAGUUUUAGACGAAAAGAGAUCUCGUCUUGCUCCACAUAGUAUUCAAAUAUGUGUUUGCAAGAAAGAUUGGGAUCAAGCGGAGAUUCGAACACAAGGACUAAGGAAUGAUGAUGAUCAAGGCGAUGAUGAUGAUGGAUACAUCUGCAUCAUCGUCAGGAGGAGAGUCAGCGGAAGCAUCUAACCAACCAGAUGAUGAUGACGAAGACGAAUAGGAUCAAUCGGACAACGAUAAAUCAACAUUCAACAACUACAAAUAAAAGGUAUGACAAAGAACUACGUGGACUUUGAUUCCUUCGAGAUACGUAGACAACUUAGUAUUCCUUUGGGUACUAGGUUCAAGUCCAUUUUCUCCCUCUUUUUUUAUUAAUCAUCUUUAUCGACAUUAUCGUUGAUUCGUUUCUUAUUAAUUUAUUUUUUUCAUUCUUUUUAGUAAAUAUUUUAAUAACGAUGACAACUUGACAAGCAAUGAAUUUCGCUAAUAAUCAAGUAAUCAUCAAAGGGGUCAUUGUCCGACUGUUAUUUCCUACACUACUUUGAUUAACGGGUACUGCACGUAUGGUGAAAUGGGCGCAGCAUUUAAGGUUUUUGAUGAGAUGUCUGAGAAGGGUGCAACCCCUAAUUCGUUGACUUAUAGUGUUUUGCUUGGUGGGGUUUUGGUCAAUGGUGAUGCAUAGCUCAGGAAGGACUUGAUGAGUAAACUUUGGGAGCAGAUGAUAAAUGUGCUGCCUUUGUCAAUCUUAUUAAUUCUUUGAGUAAGGAAGGAUUUUUUGAUGAAAUUUUCGAGAUUUCUGAGGAUAUGCCUCAAGGUAGUAGUAUUCCUACGGAAUUUUCUUAUGCUCAAAUGGUAGAUUCUUUGUGCAGAGCUGGUAGGCAUAAUAGGGCAUCAAGGAUAGUGUAUAUAAUGAGAAAAAAAGGUUAUAAACCAAGCAUGGCAGCAUAUAAUUCUAUCAUUCACGGAUUUGGUGAUGUAUUUUAUUUAUAGAUUAUCGUUUAUCUUACAUUCUCAAUUAAAAAAAUACAAAAAAAUAAAAAAAACCGUAGACCAGACCAGAACAGACCGUUCUAGAACGGUGUGGUCUGGUCCGGUCUGGUGUCUUAACUGGUCUGGUCUGGUCUGUAAAAUUUCUAGAUCGAAAUUUCAAGUCUGGUCUGAUUUUUCUGUCAAACCAGACCAGACCGAACCGUGUGCAGCCCUAAUCUUGUUAACUUAACCUGGUGAGGGAAAAAUUUUGUUAUUGAGAAUGACAAUAUAAAUUAGGCUUAUUCAAAUUUAUAAAUAAAAAUAAAUAAUGUAAAAUUAUUUUUAUUGUAAUUUCUUAUAUUUUAAACUCUAAUAGUUAAAUAUCUUGAUAGAUGUUUAGUGGAUAAUAUAAUUAGUUAAGUAAUUGGUUAUAUUGUCGAUAUAGUAGCUUGGUAUAAGUAUUAAGCUUUCCUAUUAGUUUAAGUAAUUGGUUAAUAUCGGAGUGUUUUAAGGAGACGCUUUAACAUAUGUACCGGAGAACUCCAUUCCACUGUGCAAAUCAAGAAAAGGGAGGAAUAAUGAUAAAAAAAAUACUCCCUUCAUCCCACUUAUUAAACAUUAUUUGCUAUCUCACUCAUUUUAAAUCAUUUCUGUUUUUGGACAAUGGUCCAUCACUUUUUUUUUAUCCCAUCUAUAUAUGUUAAGUCUCAUUUAAUGUAAUUUCUUAUAUUUUAAACUCUAAUAGUUAAAUAUCUUGAUAGAUGUUUUAGUGGAUAAUAUAAUUAUUUAAGUAAUUGAUUAUAUUGUCGAUAUAGUAGUUUGAUAUCGGAGUAAUUGGUUAAUAUUAAGCUUUCGUAUUAGUUUAAGUAAUUGGUUAAUAUCGAAAUGUUUUAAAGAGACCCUUUAAGAAUGUACCGGAGAAUAAUGCCGCUGCCUUGAGUGACACACUGCAUUGCCUUCUUUGGGCGUUGAAGAACUCCAUUCCACUAUGCUAAUUUGAAUAUCAUUAUGUAUAUAUAACUCUAAAACUUCAUCUGCAUUUUCUAUAAUACUUUUUCCAUAUUAGCUUAUUAACUAAUUGCAAUUACUUACACAGUUUAUGUCUUUGCUCUUUGCAUUGGUUGUUUUUCAGAUGAAGGAUGAUCCCACAUUGGGUAACAGGGCCGUCUUGGAUAUUUUAGGGGCCCUUAGCAAAAAAUGAAAUAUGAACACAUGUUUCACUUUUCAAAAAUAUCAUUGAUAGAGUGUUAAUUUUUUUAUUGUUUAAAUAAGACAAUACUUUGCAUAUCUAACUCAAUCAUAGUUAGAGCUGUACAAAAGUGACACGACCCGAAACCGAAAGUUAACCGACCCGAAAAUAUGUUUCUUUUUUAGGUUUAUCGAACCGACAUUAUCCGAACCGAAGUUGCGUCUGAAUCGAUUUACGACCGAAAAUCGUAAAAUCGAACACGAACUGCGACCGAUUUUUAUAACUGACAUAUAACCGUUAACUAAGAUUACCCGAAACUAAUAGUGACCGACCCGAGUCAUACCCGACCCGAAUCAUGCUCAAAAGCGAACUUGAUCAGGCUAAAAUCGACUUAACCCGAACAAACUUUUAAUCGAAAUGCUGUAAAAUUGAACCAAUUUUUAACAUAGAGGUAUGACUCAUAUUCAAUCAUCUUAUUAGUUAAUCUAAUAAAGUAAUAGAAAUUUUAGUAAAUUAAAUUUUAUACAUACAUGGUUUUCUAUAUUUAGAGUUAAUAAUCAAUGGUCAAUAUUUAUUUAACUAUUAUGAAUCAAAUUAGAUGAAAAAUGAAAAAACUUUAAUUUUAAUUGACAGUCAAACAAGUAAAAAUAACAAAGUAACAAUCACUAACUAAUUUGCAUUUUAACUAUAUUGCCUUAACUAAGGGGAAUCUUAUGAAAAAAUGUCUAACAACAUAAUCUGAUAUGGACUCGAUCUAUAGUAAUAAGUAGUAGUAAUUUGCAGCCGAAUUCUACUAGAAAAUAAUACCCGAACCCGAUCUGUACCCAGUAAAACCGAACCAAUUAUUAAUAGAUGAAAGCCCGAGAUCGAUUGAAUACUCGACACGAACUUAUACCGACACCGAACCGAUGCUAACCCGAUAGCUCAAAUAACUGAUCUUCAACCAAACCGGGACUAACUGACCUGACUCGAGUGUGACCCGCUGUAACACGCAUCCGAAAAAUAACCAAUCUGAAAUACAACUUAACCGAAUGACAACCCGUCCGAAACCGAACCUAUCACCCGAAUGAACACCUCUAAUCAUAGUAUUUACUAAAAGACUUGGAAAAUGACACAUGUCAUAGUUCAAGACAAACUGCCAAAUGUAAUAAUAUUUGUCAACUGUAAUAAUAUUAGUGGACUUAAUUUGCUUACAUGUAAUUCACUUAAUUCCUCUCUUAAAAUAACUUAAUUCUUAAAAUAGAAUAUUUGCCUAAAUUAUAGAGAAUAAUUAAUUAAUUUAUUUAUGACAUGGUUUUUCCAAUUAUAUUAUUAUUAUUAUUAGUUAAAUAAAUAAAUUAUUAUUUAUUUAAUUUUUUAACUAAGAUAAAAAAAUUUAUCUAUAUUACUCCUUCAAUCUUCAAUCUCUUGCACUUAUUCUUUAACUUUCAAUCUUCUUAAACCUUCAAUCUUCAACCAUCAACCUUCAACCUUCAACAUAUAUUCAUCCGACAUUAUCUAUUUUCGGUUAGUUUUCUAACAUUUUUUAGUUUUUUUUGAUAGUUCAUAUUUUGUUGUUAUUUGAUGAUAGUGUGUAUGUAGAUUUGUUUUUCGGUUUGUAUGUUGUUGGUGGUAAAUUUCAGUUUGUGCAUCAUCCAUUUUUUUUGUUCAUUUUUGAUAAUUUUUAAUUUGUAUGUUGCUGUACGUGUUGGUAAUUUUUAAUGUUGAUAGAUUUUGUUAAUUUUUCUGUUUAUAUGUUGAUUUUUGUUAAUUUUUUUUGUUUAUGUGAUAGUUUUUGUUACUUAUUUAUAUGUAGAUUUUUCUGUUAGUUCACAUUGUUGUAUGUUGUUGUUGGUAGAUUUUUUUUGUUAAUUCUUGAUAGUUAUUUUUCUUUUUUUCGAUUUUUUUUUAUUUCAGAUUUUUUUGAUUUAUCUGUCCAAAUGUUUAGUUUCAGUUUCUUUUUUAAAUUUUUGAAUUUUUUUGUGUUUGUUUGUAGGUAAUUAGCUAUUAGUUUUUUUAAUUAUUCGUGAAAUAAUGAAUUUUUUGUUAAUAUCAAUUUUUAAUUUCAUGGUGCAAAUCGCGGUGCAUCUCUUAGUUCCCAAGGAUCUUGUAACACACGUGCUCCAGGCGGCUCGUGCAGGUCUCGUAUGCGGCGGGGUGGUGGAAGUGGUAGUGGUAAUUAGUAGAUGAUUUAGGAUGUUGUAUAUUUUAUACAAAAAUAAUUUAUAUGUAAAUUUAGUAUUUUAAACCUUUUGUAUUAUAUUUGUUAUUAUUUUCUAUAUUAAUAUAAUUAGUUUAUUGUUUAUAUAAUUUUUUUUGUCGUAUAUAUAUAUUUUUUUAUUUUAGUUUUAUGUAAUUUUAUAUAUUUAUUGUUAUUUUAAUUAAAAUCUAAAUUAUAAAUUAUAAACUCUUAAUUCUUAAUCCCUCCAAUCCAUUUGAGUUGUCUCAUUCAGUUUUGGCACACUAUUCAAUACACUAAUUCAAUUCUAAUUAUCUCUAAUUGUGCAUAAUUAAAAAAUUAUAAAAAUUUGAUAUUAAUAAAAUUUAUAUUGAGAAGAAUCAAACAAGAUCCCACAUGACUAUAUUUUGACGUUUAAAUUAAGAAUAGAAUACAAAUUAAGAGUGAUCGAUGAAUAGUGUUAAAAAAUAAAAUGGGACAACUCAAAUGAAUCGGAGGGAGUAUUAAUUAAUAUUAAAAUACUAAUAAUAAUAAUAAUACAAUAAUAAUAAUGAAAUAUAAUAGAAAGUUCAAGAUAUAAAAUGGUGAGGACAUUAGGUUUCUGACACAAACAAUUGAGACAGGAUCACUACUUGAAAUACUGAUGGCGAUGACAAAAAUGGCUAUGGGUCCUUCCUGUCGCCAUAUGGGUGAUCGCGACAGGAUGGAGACGGGAAGGACCCGUAGCCAUCUGGUUUUUUUUGUAGUGGUUGUAAGAAGGUGUUAAUUUUGUUUUUAUGUUGUUUUCAAGAAUGGUGAUUGUGUCCUUCUUUGAGUGGGAUGAAAAAUUCAAAUUUCCAUAAAAUUCAGAUGUUAUGUUUGGAAAAUUGGUAGAGCUAGAGGCACAGUGUGGUAUGUUGGAUGAGAAGAUGAGGCCCAACCUCAAGAGUGAAACCUAUGUCUAAGCAAAAAUCGAACAAUUAUCAGUUGAAUAAUAAGGUAUCAAUUGCGAAUUUAAAAUUUAAAACUUACUUGUGUUGUGAUGUUUUUCUCGAAAUCUCCUUUGCAAUACCGAAGAAAGGGAAGUUGCCUUAAAAUUUUGCUUGAACCUCCAUCACAAGAAUGCUAAAGGUUAGAUUAGUUUUGGUUAAAGAAGAUAAUUCCAUGUGUGAAGAAGAAGAUAGAAACUUUUAUGUUUUGAAAUAAAGUCUAACUGACAGCUAUGACUUGGUUGGUAUAGGAAUUUAAUGAUUUUACCGAUGUCCAGUAAAAUAGCUCUUUCUUUGCAAAAUUGAGCAAAAGGUUGGAUUUUUAAAGAAUAAAUGAAACAUUGGCCUUUUAUUUGCAGAUGGCCAAAAUGUUUGCCUUUUAAAAACAUUUUUUCCUAUAAUAUAAUGCAUAAUAUAUUGUUGACAAUUUUUAAAAUUAUAGAGUUAAUUUAUACAUGUAACUAUCAAAAUUGAGUGUCUCUACUGCAUAAUAUCAUUCACUUUAUUUUUUUUAUAUUAUAUGUUUAUAUAUGUCGAUGUUAAAAAAAUUGUGUUUUACACGGGUUUCUACACUAGUUAAACACUAAAAUAUAAUAAAUUAACAAUCUAUACUUGACUACCUAGAUUCAAUGAUUUUGUCGGAAAAAGAAAAUAUCAAAAAAAAAAAGCUGAGUAACUAUUAACCCAAAAAUAAUUGAAAAACACUACACUACUAUGUCGUCAUUUAUAUUACCUUUGUUUAGAAAUACUUCUUACUAAUAGUGACAUGUUGUAUCAUAUUGUGUGGGAAAAUUAAAUUAGGACCUUAUUUAAUUUUGGUAUUAUUUAUUUAUUUUAUUUUUAUUUAUUAAAAAUUAUAAAUAGAGUUAAAGUUUAAUAAAUACGAGAUAUAGCCACUAUAUAUCAAAUAAUGAAACUAACUAAUUCCAUC